rnacentral:rRNA from 1 species
CCUACGGGAGGCAGCAGUAGGGAAUCUUCCGCAAUGGACGAAAGUCUGACGGAGCAACGCCGCGUGAGCGAUGAAGGCCUUCGGGUCGUAAAGCUCUGUUGUCAGGGAAGAACAAGUACCGGAGUAACUGCCGGUACCUUGACGGUACCUGACCAGAAAGCCACGGCUAACUACGUGCCAGCAGCCGCGGUAAUACGUAGGUGGCAAGCGUUGUCCGGAAUUAUUGGGCGUAAAGCGCGCGCAGGUGGUUUCUUAAGUCUGAUGUGAAAGCCCACGGCUCAACCGUGGAGGGUCAUUGGAAACUGGGGGACUUGAGUACUGAAGAGGAAAGUGGAAUUCCACGUGUAGCGGUGAAAUGCGUAGAGAUGUGGAGGAACACCAGUGGCGAAGGCGACUUUCUGGUCAGUAACUGACGCUGAGGCGCGAAAGCGUGGGGAGCAAACAGGAUUAGAUACCCUGGUAGUCCACGCCGUAAACGAUGAGUGCUAAGUGUUAGGGGGUUUCCGCCCCUUAGUGCUGCAGCUAACGCAUUAAGCACUCCGCCUGGGGAGUACGGCCGCAAGGCUGAAACUCAAAGGAAUUGACGG